rnacentral:rRNA from 1 species
UGGGGAAUAUUGGACAAUGGGCGCAAGCCUGAUCCAGCCAUGCCGCGUGAGUGAUGAAGGCCCUAGGGUUGUAAAGCUCUUUCACCGGUGAAGAUAAUGACGGUAACCGGAGAAGAAGCCCCGGCUAACUUCGUGCCAGCAGCCGCGGUAAUACGUAGGGGGCUAGCGUUGUUCGGAAUUACUGGGCGUAAAGCGCACGUAGGCGGAUCGAUCAGUUAGGGGUGAAAUCCCGGGGCUCAACCCCGGAACUGCCUCUAAUACUGUCGAUCUGGAGUUCGAGAGAGGUAAGUGGAAUUCCGAGUGUAGAGGUGAAAUUCGUAGAUAUUCGGAGGAACACCAGUGGCGAAGGCGGCUCACUGGCUCGAUACUGACGCUGAGGUGCGAAAGCGUGGGGAGCAAACA